rnacentral:rRNA from 1 species
AGGGCGUACGGUGGAUGCCUAGGCUCUUACAGGCGAUGAAGGACGUGAUAAGCUGCGAUAAGCUGUGGGUAGGUGCAAAUAACCAUUGAUCCGCAGAUUUCCGAAUGGGACAACCCAGCAGGUUGAAGACCUGUUAUCCCGCGAAUGCGGGAGGCUAACGGGGGGAACUGAAACAUCUUAGUACCCCUAGGAAAAGAAAAUAAUAAUGAUUCCCCUAGUAGUGGCGAGCGAACGGGGAAGAGCCCAAACCAUAUAGAUUUCGGUCUAUAUGGGGUUGUAGGACCACGACGUUGCAAGAAGUACGAUUAGAGGAACGCUUUGGAAAGAGCGACCAUAGAGAGUGACAGUCUCGUACUCGACAAUCGUAUGAAGCAUAGUGGUAUCCUGAGUAGGGCGGGACACGUGAAAUCCUGUCUGAAUCCGGCGGGCCCAUCCGCCAAGGCUAAAUACUCGUAAGAGACCGAUAGCGAACCAGUACCGUGAGGGAAAGGUGAAAAGCACCUCUUUUAGAGGAGUGAAAAAGUUCCUGAAACCGUACGCCUACAAGCGGUCGGAGCACCUUAUGGUGUGACGGCGUGCCUUUUGCAUAAUGAACCUACGAGUUACCGUCGUCGGCAAGGUUAAGUGCUAUGAAGCACGUAAGCCGAAGCGAAAGCGAGUCUGAAUAGGGCGCAUAGUCGGCGGUGGUAGACGCGAAACCAAGUGAUCUACCCUUGUCCAGGUUGAAGUCCCGGUAACACGGGAUGGAGGACCGAACCAAUAAGCGUUGAAAAGCUUCUGGAUGAGGUGAGGGUAGGAGUGAAAGGCCAAUCAAACUUGGAGAUAGCUCGUACUCCCCGAAAUGCAUUUAGGUGCAGCCUCGGGCGUUCCCUGUGUGAGGUAGAGCGACUGAUUGGAUGCGAGGGCUUCACCGCCUAUCAAGUCCAGACAAACUCCGAAUGCACACAGGCUAAGCCCGGGAGUGAGGGCGUGGGUGCUAAGGUCCACGCCCGAGAGGAGAAGAAUCCUGACCACCGGCUAAGGCCCCGAAAUAUAGGCUAAGUUAAACUAACGAAGUGUGGUCCCCGUGACAGCUAGGAUGUUGGCUUGGAAGCAGCCAUUCAUUCAAAGAGUGCGUAACAGCUCACUAGUCGAGGGACUGUGCAUGGAUAAUAAUCGGGUAUAAAGUCUAUUGCCGAAGCCGUGGGAUAUCUAUUUGAUAUCGGUAGGGGAGCAUUCAUGCGGCCUUGAAGAUAGAGGAUAACCUCUGUUGGAGCUUCAUGAAAAGCAAAUGUAGGUAUAAGUAACGAUAAAGAGUGUGAGAUGCACUCUCGCCGAAAGACUAAGGUUUCCAGGGCAACGUUAAUCGUCCCUGGGUCAGUCGGGACCUAAGGUUCAACCUAAUGGUGAUGCCGAUGGCAGAAACGGUUAAUAUUCCGUUACUAUCUUUGUUGGCGAUGUGGAGACGGAGGAGUGACACUUCCGCGAGCUGACGGAAUAGCUCGUUAAAGACCGUAGGUGUUGAGGAUGGCAGGCAAAUCCACCAUCCGAGCUGAAAGUCGAUAGUAUACAGCGUCUUCGGACAAUGUAAUAGUGAAGGUAAUCCUACUCCCGAGAAAAUCCGCUAAGCUUAACAACAAAGAUACCCGUACCGUAAACGGACACACGUAGUCGGGUAGAAUAUACUAAGGCGCUUGGAAGAUUCAUGGUUAAGGAACUAGGCAAAUUGACCCCGUAACUUCGGAAUAAGGGGUCCUCACAGUAAUGUGAGGCGCAGAGAAUCGGCCCAGGCAACUGUUUAACAAAAACACAGGGCUGUGCAAAAUCGAAAGAUGCAGUAUACAGUCUGACACCUGCCCGGUGCUGGAAGGUUAAGAGGAGAGCUUAGAUGCAAGUCGAAGGUUUGAAUUGAAGCCCCAGUAAACGGCGGCCGUAACUAUAACGGUCCUAAGGUAGCGAAAUUCCUUGUCGGGUAAGUUCCGACCUGCACGAAUGGUGUAAUGAUCUGGGCACUGUCUCAACCAUGAUUCCAGUGAAAUUGUAGUAUCGGUGAAGAUGCCGAUUACCCGCGAUGGGACGAAAAGACCCCGUGAACCUUUACUAUAGCUUAACGUUGUAAUUGGGCAGUCGAUGUGUAGGAUAGGUCGGAGGCUUUGAAGCAGGCACGCCAGUGUUUGUGGAGCCGCUGUUGAAAUACGACCCUUUGGCUGUCUGGUUCCUAACUCUCAGAUGAGAGGACCGCGUUUGGUGGGUAGUUUGACUGGGGUGGUCGCCUCCAAAAGCGUAACGGAGGCUUCU